rnacentral:rRNA from 1 species
GCUGACGAGUGGCGGACGGGUGAGUAAUGCUUGGGAAUCUGGCUUAUGGAGGGGGAUAACUGUGGGAAACUGCAGCUAAUACCGCGUAUUCUCUGAGGAGGAAAGGGUGGGACCUUAGGGCCACCUGCCAUAAGAUGAGCCCAAGUGGGAUUAGGUAGUUGGUGGGGUAAAGGCCUACCAAGCCUGCGAUCUCUAGCUGGUCUGAGAGGAUGACCAGCCACACUGGAACUGAGACACGGUCCAGACUCCUACGGGAGGCAGCAGUGGGGAAUAUUGCGCAAUGGGGGGAACCCUGACGCAGCCACGCCGCGUGAAUGAAGAAGGCCUUCGGGUUGUAAAGUUCUUUCGGUAAUGAGGAAGGGAUGUUGUUAAAUAGAUAGCAUCAUUGACGUUAAUUACAGAAGAAGCACCGGCUAACUCCGUGCCAGCAGCCGCGGUAAUACGGAGGGUGCGAGCGUUAAUCGGAAUAACUGGGCGUAAAGGGCACGCAGGCGGACUUUUAAGUGAGAUGUGAAAUCCCCGAGCUUAACUUGGGAACUGCAUUUCAGACUGGGAGUCUAGAGUACUUUAGGGAGGGGUAGAAUUCCACGUGUAGCGGUGAAAUG